GAACGAUAACGGCGUCGAGCGGCGGACGGGUGAGUAAUGCCUAGGAAAUUGCCCUGAUGUGGGGGAUAACCAUUGGAAACGAUGGCUAAUACCGCAUGAUGCCUACGGGCCAAAGAGGGGGACCUUCGGGCCUCUCGCGUCAGGAUAUGCCUAGGUGGGAUUAGCUAGUUGGUGAGGUAAGGGCUCACCAAGGCGACGAUCCCUAGCUGGUCUGAGAGGAUGAUCAGCCACACUGGAACUGAGACACGGUCCAGACUCCUACGGGAGGCAGCAGUGGGGAAUAUUGCACAAUGGGCGCAAGCCUGAUGCAGCCAUGCCGCGUGUGUGAAGAAGGCCUUCGGGUUGUAAAGCACUUUCAGUCGUGAGGAAGGUAGUGUAGUUAAUAGCUGCAUUAUUUGACGUUAGCGACAGAAGAAGCACCGGCUAACUCCGUGCCAGCAG
rnacentral:rRNA from 1 species